ensembl:snRNA U2 U2 spliceosomal RNA
AUUCUUUCUCAGCCUUUUGGCAAAGAUUAAGUGUAGUCCAUAUUAUUAGUUUAGUAUUUGAUAUGUCCUCUAUCUGAAGACAAUAUAUAAAUGGGUGUCUAGAGCAAGCAAAUAGAAUAGGAGCUUGUUCUGUCCAUUCCACUCAUUAAUCUGGUGUUGCAGUAUCUGGUGCCUGGAGAAGGAGAU